UAGUGUUACAGUUUUUUUUAGAAUUUGUCCAGCAGGCCUUCUGGUUUCUACUGGAAGGUUCCCCU